UAUAGCCACCUGCAUCUUACGGGGAGAUAUGAAGCAUAUCGAAAGCCAGUGGGUAUUGUGUUUGGAGGAACUGUUGGAAAUGAGAGAAUAUUUAUAGAUGAAGAUUUGGCUAGAGUUAAUGUUCAUCAUCAUGCAGUUGACAAAACUUACUAACCUGGCUCUCUAGUUCCCAAUCAACUAUAUUUUAAUCCUGCUACUGUGAAAAUGCUGAGCAAACUGAAGUAUGAAAGCAAUGCGCGGUUCGUGAGGUGAUCAGAUGACAGUUUGCAAUUACAGGUGAGGAUCUUAGCUUUGAAUGCCUCAUUUUUUUUAAAAAAUGGAGGUCAUUUUGUGAUAUCAAUUAAGAUUUUUCUUGUUCAGAAAUGAGAAGAUCAGUGUAUGCUCCCGAGUAUUGUCUUUUCUUUCUUUCUUUUUUCUUUAUGUCAUCUCCUCGUCGUCUUUCUCUAUAAUUUAGUUCUUCAAUUUCGGGGCAUAGCUUUUUCAUAUGACUACAUAUUUUGUAUGAUGAAAUUGAUUUUCAGCCAUGUGUAGUAAGCUUUCAGAUCAAAACAAAGCUGAGGAUUGGGUGUUAGUUGAUGGCAAAUUGAUAACCAGUAGAGGCACAUCCAUGGAGUUCUCGCUUGUGAUUGUUGAGAAGCUAUUUGGCUGUGAGAAGGCAUUAGAUCUUGCUGUCAAUGAGAACUUUAAAUAGACAUAUAACUAUUAUGUUGCCAUUGUACUUUUGUGAAUGGAUUAAAAUGAAUGUUGUAUUUGAUUGAAUGAAUGAAUGAAUGAUUGAAUGGAUGUAU